rnacentral:misc_RNA from 1 species
AGAGAGAGAGAGAGAGAGAAGAGGAGAGGAGAGGAUGGAGAAGGAGAGAGAGCAGCAGGUUUACUUGGCGAGACUUGCAGAGCAAGCCGAGAGAUACGAUGGUAUGCCUAAUUUCUGGUUCUUUACUAGUCUGUAGUUGAUACCCUUUUUGGAUCUCUCAUUUUCUAGUCUUUUCGCUGUUCUGUUAAUUGCAACUGGGUUAAGAUAUACACUUGGCUUAGGCUGACUUUUUCGUUAAAUUUCAAGCACGAAAUAGAAAAUUUCUGGGUAUGGUUCUCGGAUUUAUGGGUUUGUACUGCUAAAUAAUGGGUCUGGUCUUCUUCUUCUUUGUUUUCUCUUUUCUUCGUGGCACUAUCAGAUUAACGUAGGCUACCAUUUACGGCUACAAUUUAAUUUGUAAUUUGUGCUGUUUCGGUGGACUGUAUUUAUUGUCUAUGCUUGAUUUGGUUGUGUUUUGUACCCGGAAGUCUUUACUGGUUCAGAUGGUUUUCGAAUGCUUAUUUGCCUAUUUAGUGUCAAGUGUUUGCAUACCAUUUAUGCAAUGACAACCAAAUAAGAGCAGUGGACAAAGGAAUUGCUGGAAUUCCAAUACUGUUGAAUUUGUCACGCGUUCCUUCUGGUGCAUUUAUACGUUCUACUUGACACUGUCAUAUAGUGAAAGUUUGAGGAGAAGCAAGGAGAAGAAAUGUCGAUGGUUAAAAUUUCCCACCUGCCUAGCUGAAUUAAGAGAUAGUUUUCUAUGUUGAAAAUAUUUUUAUUAUUCUGUUUUUACUCCUUGGUUCUUUAGUGAAGAAAUCGAUCAUGCAUGGAAUUUGUUGAGUAACUAAGUCAUGUGACAUCACAACAAAGCUCGAAAUUUUAGCAUAUUGAAAUCAUAGGAGACAAGAAGAUGAGAGGGAAACCUAAAUGAUGCCGGCGUAAAGCAGUGAAUAAUGAUUAAGCAAUUUUAGACUUCUCUAUAAGCAUAGCCCUAAACUUAAACUAAGCUUAAUGGAGGAAAAUUAUUUAUAUGUAUAGUCAACUCAAAUUAGAUUGGGAUUAAGUUUUAGUCGAGUGGAGUUAAAAGUCACAAACACAGCUAAAUGUAAUGCACUUUUGAUAGAUUGUGGUUGUGGUUUGCUUGACAGAUGAGAUGAGACAGUACCAUAAAAUUUCAAAUAAAUAUAAUGGUUCUUACUUUAAUCUGUAUGUUUCAUCUCAAUACCAUCCAUGUUUUCAUUGGCUGGUUUCAUAUUGUAUGGGAAUUUCAGUGGCAUUGAAUCAGUACUUUUUUCUUUUUCUAGGUGCUUACCCUAUUUAUUUUCUUAUGUAAUCUAAUGAAUAUAAAAACAUUUUGUAUAGCCAUUGAGCUUGAUGUUGUUCUUUUUUUUUUUU